UACUGGUUUGCGUGAGGGAUAGAAGUGGAAAUCCUCCCGUUUUUUUCGGGAGAUUAUAACGGAUAGCCCGACCAUGC
rnacentral:sRNA from 1 species